UGUUGUUCCAAUAGGGUCGGAAGCGUGUAAAUUAUUGUACUAAAAAAUCACACAAAGUUCAAUUCCCAGAGAAGAGAGGUGGAUCACAUGGAUCUCUUAAAUACCAAGUCUUUCCUUAGACAGAAUAUCCCUUCUAUAGUAAUUUAAUAGCACAAUUAAAUACUACUAUUAUACCCUCAAAUAUUGAAAGAAAAAUAGGACAAGAAAGAACACAAGAGUUUUAACGAGGUUCGGUAAAUUAUACCUACGUCCUCGGGCACUAACACCAGAUGAUAACUUUACUAUCUCCAAAGUAUUACAAACAAAUAGAAUUCCUUAAGAAUUCUCAAAUGGGAGAAGAGAGAAAACUAAGAGAGAAAGAUUGGUUGGGAUGAAUUGAAAUGAGAAAUGAGAAGGCCUAUUAUAGUUGAGGUUCAAGGACCAAACAAUAAAUAGCCCAUUAUCUCAAGGACCAAAAAAAAAUUAUCCCUUGCCACUUUUCCAAAGUUGGUGGUUGUCAUUAUUGAUUGUCUCCCAUUAAUGUUAAUGGCAACCAUUAUUAAUUGUCUUCCAUUAAUGUUAACAAUCUCCACCUUGAAGAUUUGAUUAGGAUAAUCACAUCUUCACACACUUCCUUCAACUCCCCAAAUUCGAUAAAGCUAUCUUUUGUAGUGCCUACAAAUGCGCUCUCGAGCGCCAUACACCUGAAGGUGCUCAAAUUCUCAGGAUGUUAAUCAAGUUCAAACAAUGAUUAAACUUGAUUGUUGUUACCACCUUGGUCAUCAUAUAUGCGGGAUUAUCUGCUGUCGGAAUCUUCUGAAGUAGAAUUUUUCCUUUUUCAAAGACUUCCCGCACAAAGUGAUAUCUUACGUCGAUAUGCUUGGUUCUUGAAUGAUAGACUUGAUUUUUCGCUAAAUGAAUAGCGCUCUGACUGUCACAAUAUAAACUUAUGUGACUUUGAACAACUCCUAAGUCUUUCAACAAUCCAUUAAGCCAAAUAGCCUCCUUAACAGCUUCUGUAACUGCCAUAUAUUCUGCCUCUGUAGUAGACACAGCUACUGUAGACUGUAAGGUAGACUUCCAACUCACUGGGGCUUUCGCAAGAGUAAACAGAUACCCCGUAGUUGAACGACGUUUAUCUAAAUCACCAGGAAAGUCGGAAUCAACAUAUCCAACUACAAACUGACCAAGUGCUUCAUCCUGUUCAAAAAUUAAACCAACAUCUACGGUUUUUCGAAGAUACCGUAGAAUCCAUUUCACAGCUUGCCAAUGUCUUUUUCCAGGAUCAUGCAUAUACCUGCUCACAACUCCAACAGCUUGUGAAAUGUCAGGCCUCGUACACACCAUCGCAUACAUCAAACUCCCAACUGCAUUAGCAUAUGGGACUUUCGCCAUAUAUUCUCUUUCAUCUUCAGUCUUCGGAGAUAAUUGAGCACUAAGUUUCAAAUGAGAAGCAAGUGGGGUACUUACAUGUUUUGUGUUUUCAUUUACACCAAAACAUUGUAAUACCUUUUUCAGAUAUUGCUUUUGAUUUAAACAGAGCUUGCCUCUCGGUCUAUCUCUACUUAUCUCCAUGCCGAGAAUCUUCUUGGCCUCACCUAGAUCUUUCAUCUCGAACUCUUGAUUCAACUGAGCCUUUAGCUUAUCUAUCUCAUUUUGGCUCUUCGAAGCGAUUAACAUAUCAUCAACAUACAAGAGUAGAUAAAUGAAAGAUCCGUCAUGCAGCUUCUGCAAAUAUACACAAUUGUCAUAUUUGCUUCUUGUGUACUUCUGCCUUCUCAUAAAGCUAUCAAAUCGCUUGUACCACUGCCUCGGGGAUUGCUUCAAUCCAUAUAGCGAUUUGUUCAGCUUACAAACCCAAUUUCUACCACCAGCAUCUGUGUAUCCUUCGGGCUGAGUCAUAUAGAUCUCCUCUUCUAACUCACCAUGCAAGAAAGCCGUCUUAACAUCAAGUUGAGCUAGCUCCAAAUUCAACUGUGCUACCAAGGCCAACAAAAUUCUAAUGGAGGAAUGCUUCACAACAGGGGAAAAUACAUCAUUGUAGUCAAUUCCCUCCUUCUGAGCGUAGCCUUUAGCUACCAAUCUUGCCUUGUAGCGAAUAUCCUUCUUGCUAGGAGAUCCAUCUUUCUUUGCGAAUACCCACUUGCAUCCGAUUGCCCUUUUACCUUUCGGUAAUUGCGCCAACUCCCAAGUAUUGUUCUUCCGGAGAGACUGCAUUUCUUCAUCCAUGGCGCUUUUCCAUUUAUCACUUUCUAAGCUUUGCAUUGCUUCUUGAUAAGUGAUAGGAAUAUCAUCAACAACGGGAAGGGCGUAGGCCACCAUAUCAGUAAAUCGAGCAGGUUUACGAAUUUCUCUCCGUGGCCUUGUAACUGCAACUGGUUCUGGUGUACUUAGUGGUUCUUGGGUCAGAACCUCUUCAACCUCUAAUUCCUCCAUUGUGGCUGGAGAAUUAGACUUAUUAACUGGACAAAUCCCCAUCUGCUCAAACUCCACCUGUUUUGGAGUACACUCCACCUGCUGUGGAGUAUUGCUCGUCUGAAUAUCUUUAUCUGCUACCUUUUUCAAUGUGGCAGAUUCAUCAAAGGUAACAUCUCUGCUACAGAUCAUUUUCUUUGUGCUUAAGCACCAAAGACGAAAUCCCUUCACUCCAGAAGUGAUUCCCAUAAAGAGAGCUUUCUUUGCCCUCGGAUCUAACUUUGACUCCUUCACAUGGUAAUAUGGAGUGGUUCCAAACACAUGUAAGGAAUCAUAAUCUGUAGCCGGUUUUCCAGACCAUACCUCCAUAGGAGUUUUUCUUUCUAAUACAGAUGAUGGCAAACGAUUAACAAGAUGGCCAGCGUAUGUCACAGCCUCAGCCCAAAAUUGCUUGCCCAACCCAGCAUUGGACAACAUACAUCGAACUUUCUCCAGCAAUGUUCGAUUCAUACGCUCUGCCAAUCCAUUCUGCUGUGGUGUAUCCCUAACUAUGAAGUGUCGAACAAUACCAUACUCUUGGCACACAUCGAAGAACGGAUCACUUUUAUAUUCCCCUCCAUUGUCCGUCCUAAGCAGCUUGAUUUUCUUGCCAGUCUGGUUUUCGAUCAUAGUUUUCCAUUUAAGAAAAACUCUAAGCACUUCAUCCUUAGUUCUCAUGGUAUACACCCAAAUUCUUCUGGAAAAGUCAUCAACAAAAGUAACAAAGUAGUGUUUUCCUCCCAAUGAAGGUGUCUUGGAAGGCCCCCACACAUCUAAGUGAACAUAUUCUAAAAUACCUUUUGUAUUAUGGAUAGCAGUGCCGAAUUUCACUCUCUUUUGCUUUCCCAGAACACAAUGCUCGCAAAAUUUUAAUUUGCAAGCCUUUGCACCUUUCAACAAUCCUUGCUUUGCCAGAAUUUGCAAGGAUUUUUCGCUGGCAUGUCCCAACUUCAUAUGCCACAACUGUAUUGAGUCCAAUUCUUUGUUGCCGGAAGCUGCAGCGACUGCUCCAAUAACUGUACUACCUUGGUAGUAAUACAAGUUACUUUUCCUGAUGCCCUUCAAUAUCACAAGUGCGCCAGAUGUCACUUUCAAAAUCCCAUCUCUCAUAGUAACAACUGAACCAUUGGAUUCCAAGGCUCCCAAUGAGAUGAGAUUUUUCUUCAAACUGGGCACGUACCGAACAUCAGUCAGAACUCUGGUUGAUCCAUCUUGAUUCUUUAAUUGAAUUGAACCUAUCCCAACAGUUUUACAGGCAUUGUCAUUGCCCAUAUAAACAACUCCUCCAUUUAGUUCUACUAAAUCAGAGAACCACUCCCGGUUAGGGGACAUAUGAUAGGUACAACCCGAAUCCAAUAUCCACUCAUCUGAAUGGAACGACGAUGAUGAUGCAACCAGUGAUAGUUCAGAGUCACUAGUAUCAUGCUUUGCAACACAAGCAUCUACAGCAGCUUUUCCCUUAUUCUUCAGCUUUGGACAAUUUUUCUUCCAGUGGCCUUUCUCAUGACAAAAAGCACAUUCAUCUUUCCCGAGUCUGGACUUUGACUUUGAUCUCCCCUUUUGAGUUUUCUUCCGAGUAUAUGAACGACCUCGGACUACUAAAGCUUCUGUAUCUCUGAUUGAGUUUUUCUGUUUGUCCUUCUUUCUCUAUUCAUAACUGUAUAAGGCCGCACAGACUUUGCUCAGAGAUAUAUCACUCCUGCCAUGAAGUAGAGUAGUUUCUAGGAACUCAAACUCCUCAGGAAGUGACCCCAACAGCAUCAAAGCCAAAUCUUUAUCUUUGAAUGUAUCAUCCAUAUUCAGCAAAUCAGUGACUAACUGAUUAAAUUUGGUGAUGUGAUCAUUCAUUAUGGUACUUGGGACGUAUGUGAAGUGAAACAGUCUUUUCUUCAAGUGGAUCUUAUUUUGACUGUUUUUCUUCAAAAAAUUUUCUUCAAGUGCCACCCACAACUUAUUUGCAGAAGUCUCCUUUGAAAAAGCAUACCUCUGCUCUCGAGAAAGGCAUGAUCGAAUUGUGCCACAUGCCAACCGAUUGAUCGCCUUCCAAUCUUUCUCCUGUACAUCAUCUGGUUUCUCUUCAUCAAUGGCAAUGUCUAGACCCUGCUGAAAAAGGGCAUCUAGAACCUUACUUUGCCACAUACCAAAAUGGCCCGUGCCAUCAAAGAUCUCCACGGCCAAUCUUGCAUUUGCAAUUGUCGGUCUUGUCCACAUGGACGAUGUUGAAGCUCCUACACCGACCGUUUUCUCCAUAAUCUUUCAAUAUACCUAAGGAAAUCUUUUCUGAUGUGGAAGAUCAGUUUAAACUGCAACCACAGAGCAUACUACGAUUAACCUUCGGCUCUUGAUACCACUUGUUGUUCCAAUAGGGUCGGAAGCGUGUAAAUUAUUGUACUAAAAAAUCACACAAAGUUUAAUUCCCAGGGAAGAGAGGUGGAUCACAUGGAUCUCUUAAAUACCAAGUCUUUCCUUAGACAGAAUAUCCCUUCUAUAGUAAUUUAAUAGCACAAUUAAAUACUACUAUUAUACCCUCAAAUAUUGAAAGAAAAAUAGGACAAGAAAGAACACAAGAGUUUUAACGAGGUUCGGUAAAUUAUACCUACGUCCUCGGGCACUAACACCAGAUGAUAACUUUACU
rnacentral:lncRNA from 1 species